rnacentral:rRNA from 1 species
GACGAACGCUGGCGGCGUGCCUAAUACAUGCAAGUCGAACGCAGUGGGGACGGGUGAGUAACACGUGGGUAACCUCCCAUCAGAGGGGAUAACACUUGGAAACAGGUGCUAAACCGAUACUGAUGGAUGGACCCGCUGUGCAUUAGCUAGUUGGUGAGGUAACGGCUCACCAAGGCCACGAUGCAUAGGCGACCUGAGAGGGUGAUCUGCAAAACUGGGACUGAGACACGGUGCAGAAUCCUACGGGAUGCAGCAGUAGGGAAUCUUACGCAAUGGACGAAAGUCUUACCGAGCAAAGGCGCGUGAGUUAAGAAUGGUUUCGGAUCGUAAAACUAUGUUGUUAGAGAAGCGGUAUCUAACCAGAAAGCCACGGCUAACUACGUGCCAGCAGCCGCGGUAAUAC